GCGAAGAAAGGGAAUCCCCCACCGAGCCCCAAUGGGAGGCCUAAUCAUAUAGAAUACAAGCACUAGUAUUUUUAAUCAAUUAUAUAUGCAAUCACCCAAUGCUGGAGCCCCUUUUGACCAGCGUGGGAGGUAUAGUGCUCUCUAGUAACGUGUACAUAGAAGCAGGAGCCGCAGCAGCAGCAAAUAGAAGUGGCAAAGUUGGAGAAAAAGAAGAACAAUAAGAUAAAUUAUGUGAUGGGCUAGUGAGCAAAUAAUAAGACAAGUCUUGUAGCGUAAAAGGAAGUAGGUUGAAAUAGGUUGCCUUUUAGAGUGAUUAUACUUAAGUUUUGUUUAAAAUUUUGUAAAUACUAGUAGUGUUUUUGGUGGGUUUUCUCUUCUCUUUUACUUUCUACGAAGAGGGUGGUGGGAAAGGCAAGAACUUUGUAUCCCUCUUACAUGAGUAGGGAAUGGUGGAAUGAUGAUGUUAUGCAUAUAUAUAUAUAUGGAAUGAUAAAAUUUCUACCGAAUCGUAAUAGGAGAGGAUACCAUUUGUUGUUUCUAUUCAUUUCUAGAAAGUUAAAUUGAUUUUUGUUAUGGGUUCCAAUUGAUGUGGGUCCUGGCACGUGCGGGUUGAGAUCUAACAUUGGUAGAUCUGCUUGGAACGUUUCGAAGGAUCAUUGGUUGACGGAAUCCAACUUGUGGCUUCAUACUCGGAAUUGUAAAGUUGGUUUGCCGCCCCUCUUUUUCAUGUGGCUAUUGGGUCAAAGAAGGUGGGUUAGGUUUUCGUAGACCUUGUGGGGCAAUGUGGAACUUCAUCUCUGUUGUGGACCACAUAAUCUUUGAUCUUUCUUCAAGGUCGGCGAUGUUCGCCAAUAUGUGGACCCCUCAAGACUUAUUGGGAUUGUUGAGAAAAGAGAUGACGCUGGAUGAAUAAGACUUUCCGCUAUGGGAUACUUUUAUUGGUUGAGGGUUGAUGGCACCCUGUUGAUAUUUUUUUUAUUGAGAUUAAUUUUAUGAGUACUGUGGC
rnacentral:misc_RNA from 1 species